UACGUAGGGUGCAAGCGUUAGUCGGAAUUACUGGGCGUAAAGCGUGCGCAGGCGGUUUUGUAAGUCUGUCGUGAAAGCCCCGGGCUCAACCUGGGAAUUGCGAUGGAGACUGCAAGGCUUGAAUCUGGCAGAGGGGGGUAGAAUUCCACGUGUAGCAGGUGAAAUGCGUAGAGAUGUGGAGGAACACCGAUGGCGAAGGCAGCCCCCUGGGUCAAGAUUGACGCUCAUGCACGAAAGCGUGGGGAGCAAACAGG
rnacentral:rRNA from 1 species